AUUUUGCCUUGACACAUGGAGCGUCGUAACUGCAACCAGCCUUCGCGAAACAAUAUCUAACGGCGGUCCCGCGGAGGUAAGUGAUCAAGGUAACGUGCGGAUAUCUCUAAAGGUCGGGGUAGAUUUAGUACGUAAGCGCGAAGGGUGGCGGAUUGUACAUGCUGCUAAUGCAGACCAGCAGUAUCUUUUGAAAAUUUCGACCUUCACACAC
rfam:Glossina fuscipes fuscipes unplaced genomic scaffold Scaffold81, whole genome shotgun sequence.